CACGGAUAUCCUGGCAGAAAAUUCGACAACUUAGUCUGCAAGAUCUGCACCAGGCAUCGUAAAAUGAGCAGUACAUCGCACAGCCUUGCUGACGUCACCACAUCCCACCCUGAAGUUCCAACCAAGCAUUUCCUAUUCAUCCCACGACACCUUAUGUGCUGCGAGGUUACUGGUAUAAUUAAGAAAAAAUACGAAUACCACAUAUCAGAAAGAAGAAACGCUAUGGUAUUCCAAAUAAUAUGCAAUAACAAAGAAGCUAGGCCUAACGCUGAGAGGUGGGGAGUAUAAGAGAUACCGUUAGUUGCUCC
rnacentral:lncRNA from 1 species